AAGCGUACAAAAGUUUGGAGGCCUAUAACCAGAUGGUGUGUGGAUGGGUGAGGGAGAUUCAAUACCAAGUCAUCGACGACAGAUGUGUUGCGAAGGCCAAAGUUCUCCAUUCUCAAUCAAUCCGAGAAACACCCCUGGAACCCUGGAUAAUCGCUGAGAAGUCUGGUCGGAUACUUGGAGCCCACUGCACGUGUAUGGCUGGCCUCGGAGAGACGUGCACACAUGUUGCUGCAUUAUUGUUUCUCAUAGAAGAAACAGUGAAGUUGAGGGACU